rnacentral:rRNA from 1 species
GUCGUAACAAGGUCUCCGUUGGUGAACCAGCGGAGGGAUCAUUAUCGAGUUUACAACUCCCAAACCCCUGUGAACCUUACCUAUCGUUGCUUCGGCGGGACACUGCGGCCAACCCCUCGGGGCGUCGCCGGUGCCAACCCGCCGGGGGACCCAAACUCUUGUCUUUAUGUGGUAUUUUCUGAGUAAAACAAAAAUAAAUCAAAACUUUUAACAACGGAUCUCUUGGUUCUGGCAUCGAUGAAGAACGCAGCGAAAUGCGAUAAGUAAUGUGAAUUGCAGAAUUCAGUGAAUCAUCGAAUCUUUGAACGCACAUUGCGCCCGCUAGUAUUCUGGCGGGCAUGCCUGUUCGAGCGUCAUUUCAACCCUCAAGCCCCCGGGCUUGGUGUUGGGGAUCGGCCGUCCUCGCGGCGGCCGUCCCCGAAAUCUAGUGGCGGUCUCGCUGUAGCCUCCUCUGCGUAGUAGCACACCUCGCACCGGAACGCAGCUUGGCCACGCCGUUAAACCCCCCACUUCUGAAGGUUGACCUCGGAUCAGGUAGGAAUACCCGCUGAACUUAAGCAUAUCAAUAAG